UUUGGAAAGCUUUCAACUAUUGCAAGAUUCAAAAAGCUUGUCCAUAUUCAAAAAGCUAGAGACCUUGAACCUCAACCAAAACAUGUUCAAGAAUACUAGCCUUCAACAAUUGAAUAUAUUCACAUCCCUUAAAAAUUUGUCUCUCAAAUGGAACUCUUUGGAAGGAUUUUUUCCAAUCGAAGGAUUAUGCACUCUAGAAAACUUGGUGUUGUUGGACCUAAGUGGGAAUCACCUUAUAGGCAUGCAAGGUAAAUACAAAGUGAAGUUUUGGUUAUAUACAUCAUGUAAGAACAUAAUUAAAAUCAACAUUCUUUGUCUAUCAAUUUGU